rnacentral:lncRNA from 1 species
AUUUUUUUUUUUUUUUGUGAUCGAGAUUUGAACAAUGAAUCAUAAAUAUAUUAUGCAUUGUUUUAACAAUUGAGUUAAGCUCACGAGAACAAACACACAAUCUUUUGAUAUCAUUUAUAUAUGUCAGUGUGUAAUAAAUAUUUUUACAAAUAUCUAUUUGAUAUGAAUUAAUUAAACUACAUUGAAUAUCUUAGUCAAAAAUAUAUAAUUCAAUCAUGAUAAUAUAUUAAAUAUCUUAGUCAAAAAAGUUAUUAUAUAUCACGCAUAUUUUUUUUUAUAUGAAAUAUUAGAAUAAAAUAAACUAAUCUAAAAUAUCGGUGUAAUAAUAAUAUUUAAAUCGACAAACAUAUCUCAACAAAUUUCCUGCACCAAGGCUCAACAACAACAACAACGGAACCGUCAAAGAAAAGACAAUGCCGUUUCCAACAAUCUUCUGUGUCCAAAAGUCCACAUUUCAACAUGUCUCUCAAAUAAAGUAAAGUAGAAAGCAUAAAAGAAUAAACAUAAUAUAAUAUAGUGAAAUGCAGGAAGUUUUUCGUUUUUUUGAGUGGUCAUUUAACUUUCAAAAGUUCUAAACAAGUCAUUUUAGUUUUUGAAUCGUUUCAAACAAGUCAUGAUGUAGAUAAUAUAGUUGAUAAUUGCUUCUUGAACUCAUCUUUGGUACCAAAUCUGACUUCUAGCACCCACUUAAAAUUAGCCAUCUUUUUAGGCAUGGCAAAUGGUGGAUAAUGGUCUUUGUUGUUAUCAUCUGAAGCAUCAUCAUCAUUAUCUAAAAGAAUUUGUUUGAAAUAAUUCAAAAACUAAAAGGACUUGUUUAAGACUUUUAAAAGUUAAAAACUUGUUUGGGACUUUUGAAAGUUAAAGAACCACUUUAGGAAAACGAAAAACUUAAAACGACUUUUUGCAUGUAUUUGACCUAUAAUAAAGUUAGAAAGUUUACCAAUUUUUCAAACCUGAAAUCUCUGAGCUUUGGAAUCAUUCAUCCAUGGAGUUCUCUAUCACCAACUCCAAGCCACUCUUCUUCAUCCUCUUCAUCUUUCUCCUUUUGUGUCAACCUUUUCAAAUGGUGGUGGCUGAAGAUGGUUCAUCAAGGAAACCCUUUUCAACCAGCAAAAGACCCUUCCUUAUCAACUGUGGAGAGUUGGUUUCAAAGUCAAAGUGUUCUCAGAACUCCAAGUGCAGCUGGUGCACCAGUCAAGAUCUUGAUGAUACUUGCUUCUCUAAAUCUGAAGCUUUAAGGUUGCCUCACCAGGUUUUCUCUUGUGGGCCCACCCGUUUAUGAGAUCUAUCUUUUUCAUCUUUUGGAUCUGUAGUACUGUCACCUUCACUAACCAAUUUCAUGCGUCCCUUUUGUUUUUCUGGUUUUGGUUAGUAUAGAUAAUUAGUUAUCUUGAUUUGUAUGAUUUGAUUUUAUAGAAGGUGGUGAUGUUGUAUAUUUUUUAAUGUUGUUAUUGGUGUGUAUUGAUAUUCAUGCUAUGAUUCACUUCAAACUAUAUAUUUAAGUUGUGUUAGUUCAACAUAACCACAUUUGAUCUUUUUUCUUUAUGUAUUAAAUUGCAUUACUCACUUGUUGGCAGUUGAAGAAAUAGUUAAGAUUAACAAAGAAAAAUACAUCAUUUUGAAAUCUCCUUUCUCCAUUGCAGCUCUGUUCUAUAGCUCCUGGAUUAUUAUUUUGUUGGUUGUCGUUAUUAUUAGAAAUAUAACCAGGAAAAUCUUUCUGAUGAGGAUGAUGUUGAUGGCUUAGACAGAGGUUGUGUUGUGACAUACACUAUGUAUGUACUAGAAUCUUGUUUGAGAGUAUAAACGUAUGUUUGAGUGUUUGCAACGUGAAACCAAACAACCGAUAAUGUCUGUAAAAUGGAAAAUGCUUAAUAUAGCGACAAUAAAUAAAAUUCACGACAGUAGUGCGAAGGCUACUUAAAACGCUGCUUAAUUGAAAGUUUGACUUAAAUUUUACCCAUGACCCGUGUUUUCCAGCCAUAACUAGAUUUUAUUGGUCAACGGCGAUUCGAGAGACAUUCGUGAUCAAAAGUCCUUGCGUUGAAGAGCAUUGCUGCUAGAAAAUAUUGUUAAGCACUUAGUAGAAUUUGAACAAACCAUUAUUGUUCAGACAUACACUAAUCAGUAGUAUAAAAUAUUGUCAAAUAGCAGCAGUAGUGGCGUUAUAUAGCCCUGUUGCGUAGCAGCAUUUAAACAAACCGCCAUUUUCUGCAAUUGGCAACAUUGGUUGUAAAAAUGGUCAAAAUAUUGGUUAGAAUAAUU